rnacentral:tRNA from 1 species
ACUUAAAUAGCUCAGAGGCAGAGCAAAAGACUGAAAAUCUUUAUGUCAGAAGUUCAAAUCUUCUUUUAGGUA